UUUGAAGAGACUUUAAAUACUUAUUUUAAAAUAAUUUGAAAUUCAUUAAUAAUACAUUUUUAAUAAAAGUUACUGUGAAUUCCUUGUCAAAUAGUUUGAAAAAUUGAUUCAUAUUCAUCUUGCUAUUCACAGAUUGUCUUUUUAAAAAUAAGCUGUAAUUUAAUUGUUAUUGGUAAAAUAGAUUAUUUUUAUUAGUUCUUAAGCAUUUGUCUCAUUAUUAUAAAAGCUUUAUAGUCCAAUUUACAUGUUGUAUUUUAACAACCAGUCACCUAGUUUAGGUUUGCCAUGUGUAUAUUGGCUGAUUUUUGUGGAUUGUGUCAGUAUACACUUUAUAGUGUGGCUCAAUUGGCAGUGCCUUUAGGGUGCUAUUUUGAUGACUUUAUUUAUCUGCAGCUAUCAGGGACCCUAUUCAUCCAGGAUAUUUCUGCCUAAAGGGGGAAACUGUUUUUUUCUUGUGCCAUAUUUUAGGUGGCCCAUGAUGGGAGAGCCAUGGGGUAGAAUUGCCUUACUGGUGACUUCCAGCUUCCCUGGUGUCCUUCAAAGGAAUAUAGAUGCUAAAAAUCAUAAAGUCAAUGAGUGUUUGUGACCAGGUCAGCUGGUGAUAGCUCUCUUCAGCCAGCUCUGUGUGCUGCCUCAAUAGCACUUACUGGGAAGAAAGGAGACUUUAAAUCUAUAAAGCGGAAGAAUACCUAUACCGAGAGCUCAUUCUCCUAGGGACUUCCUGCCUGCUGGCAAGGAGACUGAGUCAAAGGUUUCGAGACCAAUGUAUAGUCCCCAUCUUUUAAGAGUUGUCAAAUACUUGCAGGACAGUUAGAAUGAGUUUUCUUAAAUCCUUAGGACUAGAGAUAUUUGCACCUUCCUUAGGCCCUAUAUGAUGAGGGUGUCUAAAAUACUUGGCUUCAGGGAACUCUCCCCAGACAACAGGUAUAUCUGCACCCCUGUGCAGGCCUUCUGUAAAGUUUAUUUGCAUUUACUAGAAAAAAAUAAGUAUUUUACAUACAGUCUUUCACAGGUAAUAAUUUUUGUUUAAUUAGAAGCUAACAUGGUUAGGAAGUAUUUGUUUUGCUUUUGUUUCUGAUACAAGGUAUCUGUCCUUCCCUGCUCAAAUUCACUCCAACCUCUCCUGGAAUCCUCUUUCUCCUGUCUGACCAAGUGUGUCUUCUCCAAAUUUUCAUUCUUUCCCUUUCUCUCUCUUUCCAUUUGGCCUCUUUCUUUCUCCUCUUUUGUCCUAUCUUUCCUCCUUUUCUUUUUUUCUCUAUCCUUUCCUUUCUGGCUCUCAUCAUAACAGAGUGCCAGCUGUUUUUUAAAAACAAUUACUUUUGGCAAGGCGUGGUGCCACAUCCCUGUAAUCUCAGUGACUUGGAAGGCUGAGGCAGGAGGAUCUCAAAUUUGAGGCCAGCCUCAGGAACUUUGGCAAGACCCUCAAUAAGUUAGACCCUAUCUCAAAAAAUAAGAACUAAGUAUGUAGCUCAGUAGUAAUGUAUCCCUGGAUUCCAUCCCCAAUUACCACCCCCCCACUCCCAAAACAAGACUUUUUAAAAACUGUUCACUCCAGGUGAUAUUUCUAUUUAAAUUCUUGUAAUUUUACAAUCAUUUUUAAGGUUAAGUGUAAAUGUGCAACAAGGCUAUUAUAAACUGCACUGCAGAAAAUAAGCACUGAAAAACAUAAGGCUACUUUGCAACAGAGUUAGGGGAAAAAAACUAAGAUCAGGAAAAUACUUAUUAUGGAAGGAAAACAACAAAAACAAAAAUAUCUGCUAAGUAAGAAGGUAAAGAAGGGAUUCUCUAUGUAACAUGAAGAAUCUAUCAUUACUGUCUAAGGUUGAAUCUGGCAGAUCAACACUGGAUCAUUUAGAGCAAAACUAAACAUGUAAUAAAAGGCUUCAUAUAGUUGGAAAUUUCCUCUAAUGUUUCCAAAAUUUGUUUUUAAUAUAAGCCAAAAUGAAUAAAAAUAAUUUCAAUUCUUUUUUAAAAAACUAAAGAAUUAUAUUCAUAGUUUAUUUGUACUAGAAAUUAUUCUAGAAACUUUAUAUGUAGCAUUUCAUUUAAUUUAGUUCUUCUUAUAACCCUGAAAUACAGAUGUUUUUGAAAACUGUUUUAAGAAAAAAUAUAUACUGUCUUGUUAAAUCGUGUCCAUCUAGCCUCUUAACCAUACAUAUCUUUCAGAAUCCAGUAUCUCAAUGGAACUCUCCUAUUUUUUAAGGAUAGUAUAGGGAGAAGAGCCAAGGCACCAAGUAAACUGGAUAAGAUUUGAUAUAGUAAGAACUGAGUAAGACACUUAGAUAAGAUUCAGUAGCCAAGGGGCUCUGAGUUGCCAAGUUGCUCUCUGUGAGAAUUUCAGUAUUCUAGAUACUGGGCUGAAAUGUAGUUUCCUAUAUCUGAAAAAGAAAGCAUAUUGGCACAGAGAAAAUAUUUGAUCACUUCUUCAUCUAAUCUAUAUGUCAUAUCUAAUAUAUUUUCCAUAGGUUAGAUGUGUAGAACUGAGUGGCAUUUUACUGAUAAACUAGAAAAAGUGGUGGACCAAAGCUAUAUUUAGCAUAGAAAAUAAAUAAUAGAAAACAAACACUCUAAGCACAAUUCUGGACUUCAUGUUCUGUGAAGCUAUACUUAUCCACAGAGCUGUAGUUAUUGGUAAACUAAUUAUGUCUCAGCAAAUAACAACCUUAUAACCUUUUAUAUAGCAAAGAUUUAAAGAAGCAAAAUUAAUGAUCAAGAUUAGCUCUUUGGGGUAGAAGUAUCUCAAAUUUGAAUACAUCCCCCAGGAAAUAAUGUGACCAUAUGCCUUGGUUUGCUAGUACUGUUCUAUUUUAUGUUUGUUAUGCUGGCAUAAAAUCGAAUAGCUCCUCCCUUUCACUCUGAAGACACUCUCUCAAGCCUGGAAAGUGAAAAAAAAUAAUUUUAUAAUAGUGAUAUUUGGAACAAACAUAUUCUACAUACCCACUAAGUAAGCAAUACAGCCCAGGCUUUCAACAGAUUCACUUUCUAUGAUGUCAACAGGUUGACAAUGACCAUUUGGCAGGGCCCUUAAAUGCUUUAAUGGCCGAGGCAGGAUGCAGCUCAGCAUGAGUCAGUCCCAGAAUACACAUCCCAGAUGCCUAUUACUUUGGCUUCUUGGUCCCAAUCAGAACGGAAUCAAUGAAAGAGGGGAGGGGACAUCUGUCAUUUUGGCUUAGAAGUCAAUGGACAGGAUUUUCCAAAUAAGUAAGGUAUUCCUAUUAAUUGCUUAGGUCUUUAGAUUUUCCUAAAAAUCUCAAAGAAGUAGCUAUAAAGUAGCUACUUCUUUGACAGAAUGUAGCUUAACUUUCUGUGAUAUGUAAUUGUAAUAAAAUGGGCAAAUAUUAGAAAAUCACUAAUUUAAAUUUUGUUUUUAUUGAUGUUUUAUGGACUACUUAAAGUCUAAUAAGCUUCUUAAAAAUGUACAGAAUUAAAGUAGUUGUGCAAUAGAAAUCUCACAUGAUCUCAGAUUUAUAGUUACAGCUGUUUUAUGGGUAAUUUUUUUUACAUCUUCAAAAGUAAUAUUAAUAAUACAUUUUUUAAAGAAACCAGUGUCACUACCAAGCCUUUGGAUGAUUGACUACCCUGUGAUAUUUCUUUCAUCCAAGCCAGUUUAUAAAGGAAGGCAAAAACAACAAUAAAAGAAAUGUACCAAUUUAUUCUCAACUAAUAAAGUACUGAACAUUAGGGGAAAAAAAAGUAUGAAAUAGUGGAAUGUAACACAGAGCAAUUCCAUUACCCAUUGCAGUUUUGGGUCAUAUACUGUACAUAAAGAGUAAUU
rnacentral:lncRNA from 1 species